rnacentral:rRNA from 1 species
CCUACGGGAGGCAGCAGUGGGGAAUAUUGCACAAUGGGGGGAACCCUGAUGCAGCAAUGCCGCGUGGGUGAAGAAGCACUCCGGUGCGUAAAGCCCUGUCAGCAGGGAAGAAAAUGACAGUACCUGGACAAGAAGCCCCGGCUAACUACGUGCCCGCAGCCGCGGUAAUACGUAGGUGGCAAGCGUUGUCCGGAUUUACUGGGGGGAAAGGGGGUGUAGCCGGGCUGACAAGUCAGAUGUGAAAUCCGUGGGCUCAACCCCCGAACUGCAUUUGAAACUGUUGGUCUUGAGUAUCGGAGAGGCAGGCGGAAUUCCUAGUGUAGCGGUGAAAUGCGUAGAUAUUAGGAGGAACACCAGUGGCGAAGGCGGCCUGCUGGACGACAACUGACGGUGAGGCGCGAAAGCGUGGGGAGCAAACAGGAUUAGAUACCCCAGUAGUC